ACAACCCCCCCCCCCAAAACCCAAACCCCAAUAACAGCAACCCAAAUCCAAAAACCAUACAGGAAGCUGCUGUGAGAAUUAAACGUUGGAUGAGUAGAAAGGGCUUGGCACUGUGCCCGGUGCCCAUUACCGCACCAUGGAUGGUCACUAUGACAACAGGAUGACGAAGAGCACCUGGACUCCGGAGCUGUCAAACACGGUCCUCUCAGAACCUGCCACUCUUAGUGUGUUGACCGGUUAAGCAAAAGGUUCUUGGAAAACAGCAGGUGCAUGAGCACAGCUCUUCCCUGCAUGCUGUUUCUAAAGGCUGGGCAUGAAGUUCCCGGAUGGAGGCGUUGAGAAGGAAGGACCAAGGGCGUGAGUGCUGUGUGGGUUUUGUUUCCUUCUUAUUUUCCCUCUCACACAAGCAGUUUCCUCACAGCUUACCAUUAGGUUGUUUUCUAACCCAGUUCAGUGGAUACAUGACGAAUGCUAGCUGCUAACACCGGUGCCGUAUGCUAAUGAGGACUCCUGGGCCACAUAAACUUGCAAUAAAUGCAUUUGUAUGCUUCCCUCCCCCUCCCCUCCCCCCCGCCCCCAGGUUACUUAGUUCCAGGGCUCAGCUGGGACCCUAAGGGGAUGGAAUUGGAGGUAGCACCCUGCAUUUCCUUGUCCAGGAGAGUCCCGAAACCCUAGGCUGGCAGUUCGCUUCCCCUUAAGUCUACUCUCAGGCAGGCCAGCAGGAGGAGCAUCCUGUGGUGGGGUAGGAGGUAAGGACAUCUAUAGCUUCAGAUGCUCAUUCCAUGGGGUAAUGAUGGGGCUCCCCACACCCCCCCAGCUCCAGGCUUGCCGAGGAGAUAGCACUCACAUUUGUACAGCUUUCAAAGCCCCUGCUCGGGACUGAUUUGUGGAGGGACACCUGACUCAGAGACUAGACCACAGGAGAGAAAGAGGCUUCCUAGACUCCAGAGGGAACAUCUGCCUUCAUCCUUUCUGCUGCCUACAUCAGGCGAGCGCUCUGGUACCCAAUGCUGCUGAAAGCAUCUCUCCCAUUCUUACAAAUGACGUCUCUUGCAGAUAGAAGCAGACGGGGACUGUGUGCAUCUCUGUGGAGACUGGAGGAGCAGCUUUCGGCCAGCUCUGCUGACGUCUUGGCCACAGCCGCCUUCAGUGUGAACAAGGGACCCUCCCUGCCUCUGCUGUGAUGAGACUUAAGUGUGGUUGGGCUGAGAAUCUUGUUGCAGAGCUCUGAGAAGCGGGCAGCCUAGCACGCAGACUGAGCUUGUUAAUAUCCAACAGUGCGGUUCCUGGAGACAUGGAGACAGCGGGGAGGAAGAAAGGGACAGAGCUAGCUAGGAAAGGCCUGCAGGGAUGGGGAGGGACUGGCCCUCCACGAGGCCUCACCAUCACUUGGAGUCCCAGUCAUUGUGUCUUCAUUUACAGAAGAGGUGACUGGUCUCUAGGACAGUGAAAGUCCCUUCUGGUGAUGCUGAGCUGGUGCCGAUGACUGCCAGCCCCAUGCACCUGGAGCAAUUAAAAAUAACCUCAUUAUUGUUUUAGGAGAGUGUUUCCAAAGUGAGCUCACUAUGGAGCCAGGAUAAAACGCAAAUGCUGUUGGAAAUAGCUGUCCUUUCUCGCCGUUACGGUCCGGGUAACUUCUAGCUUUCCUGGAUGGUUGGCAAAUGUCCUGAUGCUGUGGCACAGGAUGGGAUCAGGGCCCGUGGAGUGAAGAGAAACACCAGACUUAACCUUCUCAGAAGGAGCAAAGGUUCAGUUCUCUCCUGGAGGUCUCUUAGUCGUGUGGUCAAAGGCAAAUUCCCUAUUUUCUCAGCCACAAAAUGGGAACAUUUCUUUCGGAUUUUGUGGGGCUUAAGUGAGAAAAAUGAGUAUCAAGAACGUAGCUGUGGGCCUGGGACAGCUUCUAUGGUUUGGACACCACCCGUCGAGUACUAGGAAAGGGCAAACUGAACCAACUAAAAUAGGAGUCCAUGGCUGCCUGGUGUCCUGGUUUCCCUUCUGUGGCUGUGAUAAACACCAUGACCAAAAGCAACUUGAGGGGCAAGGGAUUGUUUGGUUUACAGGGUCCAGUCCAUCACUGGGGAAGCCAACGUGUAGUCAGACUUUCUUUGAGACCGCCAGUUCCCCAGUAAUGACACAAAGGUUUAUUAUUAAUUAUGAAAGCUGGGCCUUGAGCUUAGGCUUGUUCCCAACUAGCUCUUAUAACUUAAAUUAACAUGUUUCUAUUAACCUACAUACUGCCACAUGGCAAUUUACCUCUCUUCCAUUCUCUAUGUCCGACUCUCUCCAUGUCUCGCUGGCAUCUCUCGAGUGCCUAGGUUCAUCCCAAGUUUUUCCUCUCUCCCCAGAAGUCCCUCCUAUUCUUUCCUGCCUAGCUAUUGGCUGUUCAGCUUUUUAUUAAACCAAUUAUAAUGACACAUCUUCACACAGUGUAAACAAAUAUCCUACAACAUCAAGGCAGGAAGCCGAAGGCAGGAGCUGAUACAGAAGCCACGGAAAAACACCUGGCUUACUUCUCAUGGUUUGCUCAGUCUGCUUUUUUAUACCAUUCAGGACCACCCGCCUGGGGUGGCACCACCAUUAAUGGGCUGGGCCCUCCCACAUCAAUCAUUAAUCAAGAAAACACCCUACACACUUGCCUCUGGCAAUCUGGUGGAGGCAUUUUCUAUUGAGGUUAUUCUUCCCGGCUACUCCACCUUGUACCAUGUUGACAAAACCUAACCAGGACAAGUGGAGAAUACACCUACCUCAUCAAUUAUGAUAUCUGUAUAUGGUAGCCACCUUUGUUAACAUAAAAGUACACACAUGUUAGUUCUUGUCUCUCUUUUUGUGGAGAAAUGCUGUGUAGCAUGAAUCUUAAAGGGUCUUAUUAAUAAAAACAAACCUGGACCAGGUAUUGGGGUCAAUGCUGGAAGAUCAGAGAAACAGAUCCAGCCACAGCUUCCU